rnacentral:rRNA from 1 species
AGAGUUUGAUCCUGGCUCAGGAUGAACGCUGGCGGCGUGCCUAAUACAUGCAAGUCGAGCGAACAGAUAAGGAGCUUGCUCCUUUGAAGUUAGCGGCGGACGGGUGAGUAACACGUGGGUAACCUACCUAUAAGACUGGGAUAACUUCGGGAAACCGGAGCUAAUACCGGAUAACAUUUAGAACCGCAUGGUUCUAAAGUGAAAGAUGGUUUUGCUAUCACUUAUAGAUGGACCCGCGCCGUAUUAGCUAGUUGGUAAGGUAACGGCUUACCAAGGCGACGAUACGUAGCCGACCUGAGAGGGUGAUCGGCCACACUGGAACUGAGACACGGUCCAGACUCCUACGGGAGGCAGCAGUAGGGAAUCUUCCGCAAUGGGCGAAAGCCUGACGGAGCAACGCCGCGUGAGUGAUGAGGGUUUCGGCUCGUAAAACUCUGUUAUUAGGGAAGAACAAAUGUGUAAGUAACUGUGCACAUCUUGACGGUACCUAAUCAGAAAGCCACGGCUAACUACGUG